UUUCUAAAGCUAUCAACUGAACCAAUAAACUUGCAAUGUAAAAUUUUAGAAAUUUUUGUGCAAUUUUUCAGCUGAAAAUGUGUUUUUUAAAGCAAUUUUGUUGUUGUAGUUCUGCAGUGACUAGUCCUUUAGCAGCUGACAGCAAGUUCACUCAUGCCCGCGAAACCGGUGUGGCUUCACAUGCUGCAGGUUGCUGCAAGCACUGAAGCUACUGCGAAAGUUGACGAAAACUUCGAAAAAAUGUGACGGCGUGCGCGUCUCUGAACCUGCUUGCUGCGUCCUGCGUACAACAACGCCGACUACUCACAGCUGGCGGGUGCGAAGAUGGAUGAUGGGUGCGAGUCCUUUGCACGCUGUUACAGCUGGCCUGUAUGUUGAACAGUUUGUGCCACACUGCCAAAGCCACGGCGAAAGCCUGGGCGUUUAAGGUGCCCCUGCCACCGGACUUCCGCACAAGUAAAGUGCUGAAGUCGGGAAGCUUGUAGAACUUAUUGCUCCGCGGCGAUUAAAUUAAUAAACGCCUUUGUUCAUUGUUA